rnacentral:lncRNA from 1 species
UAAGUUAUAAAAAGUUAUUUCUUGAAUCUCUUAUUACAAUAAGUCAAAUUCGAAGAACACUUAAGAACAAUAGCACUUAACCAAAAAAUAUGCCUUAUUCAGCCAUAAUAUUACAUUAAUGUAUAAAACAUGUUGGGAGAAACUUCCAAAAUAUUCUACCAUGUGUCUUCAAAACCAUAAUUUUUUGCAAGCUGCUUCCAUCUAGCACUCAACUUUGUCCUAUAUAUCAUUGCCUCAUCGAUCACCGAACAUUCUGAUAUUUUGUAAUUGAAAGGUUGUUGGCAUAAUUUUGGAAAUAUUCAAAAAGAAAUUAAGUUAGUUCAAAUAAUCUUCAAAAUAGG